rnacentral:rRNA from 1 species
UACGUAGGGUGCGAGCGUUGUCCGGAAUUAUUGGGCGUAAAGAGCUUGUAGGCGGUCUGUCGCGUCUGCUGUGAAAAUCCGGGGCUCAACCCCGGACUUGCAGUGGGUACGGGCAGACUAGAGUGUGGUAGGGGAGACUGGAAUUCCUGGUGUAGCGGUGAAAUGCGCAGAUAUCAGGAGGAACACCGAUGGCGAAGGCAGGUCUCUGGGCCACUACUGACGCUGAGAAGCGAAAGCCAGGGGAGCAAACGGG